UAGGGAAUCUUCGGCAAUGGACGAAAGUCUGACCGAGCAACGCCGCGUGAGUGAAGAAGGGUUUCGGAUCGUAAAACUCUGUUGUGAGAGAAGAAAAAGGACGUGAGUAAAUGAACGUCGCCUGACGGGAUCUAACCAGAAAGCCACGGCGAACUACGUGCCAGCAGACGCGGUAAUACGUAGGUGGCAAGAGUUGUCCGGAUUAAUUGGGCGUAAAGCGAGCGCAGGCGGUUUCUUAAGUCUGAUGUGAAAGCCCCCGGCUCAACCGGGGAGGGUCAUUGGAAACUGGGAGACUUGAGUGCACAAGAGGAGAGUCGAAUUCCAUGUGGAGCGGUUAAGUGCGUAGAUAGAUGGGCGAACACCAGUGGCGAAGGCGGCUCUCUGGUCUGUAACUGACGCUGAGGCUCGAAAGCGUGGGGCGCACACAGG
rnacentral:rRNA from 1 species